AAGCUGCGAUACGUAAUGUGAAUUGCAGAAUUCAGUGAAUCAUCGAAUCUUUGAACGCAAAUUGCGCCAACGGCUCCCCGUUGGCAUGCCUGUCUGAGUGUCAUUUUCCAACCUCUUUCUUUCUUCUUUUUGGAAGAAAGGAAGGCAGUGAGGUGGUCCUGGAGCCUCUGGUUCUCCAUGUCCCUUUAAAGAUCGUAGGCGUUUCUGUUUCCUACCAAUUGCAAACGCGGUUUUUGGCCUAUAAAAAGAAGCCUUUCAACAGGCUGCCUUUUUUUACCUUCAAGAACCAGCGGGUAGGCUGCACAAAGGCGCCCCAAACUUUAUAUUCACCCAUCAUGACCUCAGAUCAGACAAGACUACCCGCUGAAUUUAA
rnacentral:misc_RNA from 1 species